rnacentral:rRNA from 1 species
UACGAAGGGGGCUAGCGUUGCUCGGAUUGACUGGGCGUAAAGGGCGCGUAGGCGGAUAGUACAGUCAGGCGUGAAAUUCCUGGGCUCAACCUGGGGGCUGCGUUUGAUACGUAUUGUCUGGAGUUCGGAAGAGGGUCGUGGAAUUCCCAGUGUAGAGGUGAAAUUCGUAGAUAUUGGGAAGAACACCGGUGGCGAAGGCGGCUCACUGGGGGUCUUCUGACGCUGAGGAACGAAAGCCAGGGGAGCGAACGGG